GGGUCAGCAGGUUGGUCGUGCCAAUGGUAUGCACUGGCCUUGCUGAUUCCUCCUUCUUGAUGAGCCGUAAUGCCAUUAAUUUGGUGUUGCGGGGAAUCAGGACUGUUACUUUGAAAAAAUUAGAGUGUUUAAAGCAGGCACAUGCUUGAAUACAUUAGCAUGGAAUAAUGAAAUAGGACGUUUGACCCUAUUUUGUUGGUUUCUAGAAUCGACGUA
rnacentral:rRNA from 1 species